rnacentral:rRNA from 1 species
UACGGAGGGAGCUAGCGUUAUUCGGAAUUACUGGGCGUAAAGCGCACGUAGGCGGCUUUGUAAGUUAGAGGUGAAAGCCUGGAGCUCAACUCCAGAAUUGCCUUUAAGACUGCAUCGCUUGAAUCCAGGAGAGGUGAGUGGAAUUCCGAGUGUAGAGGUGAAAUUCGUAGAUAUUCGGAAGAACACCAGUGGCGAAGGCGGCGACCUGGGUCGAUACUGACGCUGAGGUGCGAAAGCGUGGGGAGCAAACAGG